UCCAUUUUCAUCAGUUGAGCUGAACGGAGCUUCCCUACGCCUCCUUCAUCAUGUUCCUCUUCAUCAAUCUCCAAUUGGUGUUUCUGCUUUUGUGGGUGAUAUAUACCAUACCUUUAUUGCUUGACGAUGACGAUUCCAGCUUGCACGAGUGAAAUCUUAAGUAAGUUCCCAUGGUUUUUUGGUGCUAACACGUUGGUCUCGUCUUCUGACCCUUGAUUUCUUCUUCUUCUAUAGCUGGGAUGAAGAUAAUGGGAAGCUCGGACCUGUUGGUAACUGAAGAAGACCAAAGAGCUCAGUCGAUUGAAUCUAAUCUGACUUGGUGACCCCCAACCUACUGAAAAUCCCUUUUUGUUGGCUGGUGUAUAUAGGCUCAAAAACAUUCUCACUUUUUUGUUCAUCUUCUCUGCUUGUGAAUAUUGUGAAGGAAACUGUUGUAGCC